GGACGGUAGCCCCCACAGAUUCACAACGCCCACCCACGGGGAGUUUCACAACAACAUCCGUGCGGUGAUCCAUCAACCCUCGCUGCUGCCUCCACAGUGCUGGAUGAUCACAGCAGAACCACCGGCGGGGGGGGGGGGGGUUCAUGACGAGGCUGGGUCCAUCGACUCGGUGAACUCCAGAACCGGGUCUCGCCACAGGCGAGUAAAACCCGGAUUUGAACUCAUGACCUCAACAGUGCCAGCUGUCUCCGACAGGGCCAUUAUGAACCCACUGACCCACCUGGAAGGUGUGUGCGUGUGUCAGAAUGAAAUUGGAGAGCGGUAGCGUAGCGGUUCGUGCGCUGCGAAUCCGGCAAUUCGUGGCUCAAAGGUGUGAGGGACUUUCAACAGGAUCUACAUCUUUUCUCUGUAGACUUGGUCAAGACCUAUGAUGCCAUCAAGGGGCACGAUGCGAUGGUUGCGCACGCCUGGUUGAAGCUGCGCGGCCGGGAGUCGCAAGCGCAGUUCCCCUGUUCACAAAUCGCCGGUGGGACACUGUCGCCACUUAGGGGCGAAGGGCGGUAGUUGCUGUCGCCCGGGAGAGUGUCGCCUGGGAGAGUGUCGCCCGGGAGAGUGUCCUGGAAUCCACACAGCCUCGAACACCGCCACAAGCGUUCUGACCCGCCCCGACUGGACAUCUGUGAAAAAGAAGUUUAUAGCUCAUCGGAUUCCUCCAACAUAAACACAUAUUCUGAUUACGAUUGGUUUGGACCUGGGUGAGAUUCCAAGAUGGUCACCGCAACAGCGCGCUCCCAGAAGGGCGUUCGGGACGUGAGUCGUUCGCGGCGAGGUUUAAUGUUGAGGUCUUGGUUGAGGAUUGUUGCAGGUGGUGGUUGUCGUUAGCAAGAAAACCUGUCAACUCCCUCGCAGUUUGCGCCAUGUCCCCGCCGAUAUUGGCAGAAUGUUCGCCAGAACGGGGAGCCAGGGGAUUGAUGUUGGUCUCAGUGUUCGCGGUUGUGAUGCGCAGAGCGUUACGUAAUCGUGCAUCUCGCGUUUUUUUUGCGUACGAGCUCCUGGACCAGUAUGGAGCAGCAGUUCGCAGUCCAUCAGCUGAGGCGCCCCCAGGGUCGUUCCUGCAAGCUUCUGUAGCAGGCCGACUCUGGAUUUAGUCUUACCAUAAAUGUUUUAUAUGGGGUUUAAAGGUCAGGCUUCGAUCCAUGAUAACCGCUAGAUCGCCUGGGAGCACUGGGCUACCAGAGGACACAUUAAGGGUGGCAUUUGCUGCACAGUUGUUCACGUGGAAGGGCGCUUGCGGUGGUUUUGGAAAGAUUUGAUCAGUCUCCAGCGUCGGAAAGAUGCCUCCAGUAAAGUGAGAUCAGCUGUUAGCGCAUUGGCAAUGUUCUCGAGGUUGGUGCCCUUUGCAGCAAGGGCUAUGUCACCUGCAUUACGGAUUUGUGAGAUGAUGUACGUGGCAGGUCACGUUAUAAAUGUUAAAUAGUGACGGUGCCAGUUCCGAUGUACACGACUUGAUGAUGAAUACGGGUCCAUCACCCCACAAUCCACCAUGUUUCUAUCUGCAUGUUAUCCCGUACCUUGCUGCACUGAGAUCAAUGGGUGGCCCCAAGGUUGUAAAUACUGGCAAAAUGUCGUACUCAGUUUGUAAAUGUUGUGGCUUGGCUCUCCAACACACCGGUGUGCUGUACUAGUGACGAAUUGGCCACGUUCUGUUUACGUGACAACCCUUACUAGUUGGCUGUGUCGGGUGGUGGCGGGUUUAAUGACACAUUUAUAUAUUUACGCGAUCUUACCCAAAAACUUCUAUUAUGGCCCCAGAGUGUUUCAGAGAGACAGGGAGAGAGACAGAGAGCACUCGCGAAUAACACCACGGCCUAGCCCGGCGUUAUGGCAUUUGUCUUAAGAGGCUACACCCCUGCUGAUGAUUUCUAGAACGUUUAAAUCGGUUCAAAAGGGCGAUG